rnacentral:rRNA from 1 species
UACGGGGGGGGCAAGCGUUGUUCGGAAUUACUGGGCGUAAAGGGCUUGUAGGUGGCCAACUAAGUCAGACGUGAAAUCCCUCGGCUUAACCGGGGAACUGCGUCUGAUACUGGAUGGCUGGAGUGUGGGAGAGGGAUGCGGAAUUCCAGGUGUAGCGGUGAAAUGCGUAGAUAUCUGGAGGAAUACCGGUGGCGAAGGCGGCAUCCUGGACCGGCAUUGACGCUGAGGAGCGAAAGCCAGGGGAGCAAACAGG